UACAGAGGGUGGCAAGCGUUGUUCGGAAUUAUUGGGCGUAAAGGGCGCGUAGGCGGACCGGAAAGUCGGUUGUGAAAUCCCUGGGCUCAACCCAGGAACUGCUCCGAAACUCCGGUCAUCGAGUGACGGAGAGGAUAGUGGAAUUCCCGGUGUAGAGGUGAAAUUCGUAGAAUAUCGGGAGGAACACCAGUGGGCGAAGGCGGCUAUCUGGACGUCCACUGACGCUGAGGCGCGAAAGCGUGGGGAGCAAACAGG
rnacentral:rRNA from 1 species